rnacentral:lncRNA from 1 species
GGCUAAAUUAAUAUGUUUAAAGCAAUUAAACUUUUGCCAACUUGCUUUUUAAAAUCCAUGUAAAAUAUUUUCAUUCAAUAAAGUUUAUUGAAAAUUCAAGAAGGUGAAGACAAUGAUGAUUUGGAUAAAAAUGACCAUUUUUGCAUUAAUUUGCUGAAAAUGGCAUCAUAAUAAAAUAACCUGAAUAAAUAAAAUGACCUGAAAAUAGGCCAAAAUAAUUGCAAAGAGGAGUGAGAACCCAGGAUCCUUCCUUUUCAGUCAGGUACCAAUAUGUUUCAUUACAGCACAAAUGCUUUAUAAAUGUAUUACAGAAGUUUCAAAUUUCAGAAAAUAUGGACAUUCUUGGGGCACAAAGGUGCACAUCUCUAAGAGAUAGAGAGAAAAAAUGAUUUAUUCUGUUUUUCUAGCAUUGCUAGUUUCUAGGUAUUCACCAUUUUCUCUGGCUGCAGGCAAUGAUUUUCUGAAGUGGUUUCUGAUGGUGUCUGACAUCAUUUAUAGCACUC